rnacentral:tRNA from 1 species
GGGGGUGUAGCUCAGUGCUAGAGCACACACCUGGCAUGCUCAGGGUCCUGGGUUCAAUUGCCAGCACCCCUG